CGUACCCAUUUAAUCUUCCCAGCCAUUCUGUAGAGUAAACGCGGUUGUCAUCUUCAUUCUCCAGCGGGUAAACAGAGGCACAGAGAGGCCUUCCCCACAGUUCGCAGCUUGUGAGUGGGAUUUGAACUCGGGCUGCGGGAGUGAGGGGCGACACACACGACCCCGCCCUGCCUGCCUUCACCGUGCGGCUGGGUCAGUGAGGCUGGAGGUCUGUCUGACGGUGAAGCUUCCUGCAGAUGGCUGUGCGGCCGUGUUCGUGGCAGAGUCUCUGGCUCCCAUGUCACGGGGUGACAGUCUCCCAGCUCUGAGGCCAGGGCCUGAGGGCGCCCAGCUGAAGAGCCCCGCCAUCCCCUGCCUCCCCUGCAGCAGCCUCGCCCACCGAGAGGCUGUGUUAUGGUCUCGUUAUCUUCAUUCUUACAGGAGAUGCUCAGAGGGGAACCGAGACUCAGAGAGGGAUAAGAAUUGCCCGCGUCACCCGGCAAGGAGAUGGAUUGGAAACUGAGAGGGAGCUGACCAGGGCAGUCCCACAUGCAAGCCAGCCCUGCAGCUGAGAUGGAACCCAGGUGGCGGCCGCAGCUUCUGCUCAGGAUGCCCCGAAGUCCACCCAUGAGCCCCGCAGUCCACCUCCCAGGCUGCUGUGGGACCAUUGGAGGUGCCGGCUCAGAGGGAACACUGUCACUGGCCUCCUACAGCAUCGUCACCGUCAGGAGUCUGUGCCGACCCACCACAAGGUUGAAAAACCUCCUCAACGUCUGUGUGUCCAGAAUUCAAACCAACAAACAAAAAACUAUUCUAAACCAUUAAAAGGCCAAAGACAGAGGGUAGGAAAAGUGCCUAGCUCAGGGUCCAGCACCCAGGACGCGCUUGAAUGGCCUUCUCCCCUCUCCCACCCGAGACCUUGUUGAUCACUGGUCUGGGUAUGCGAGGGACCCAGUGCUCAUCAGGCUCAGGUGCAAGAGCAUCCUGGAAAGACACCUGUGGGCUCCAUGAGGCAGCCUGACUGCAGGCCUGGGGCUCACAGGACCCUCACCCACUUUGGUGGCUGCAUGUCCAAGGUGGCCGUCUGCCAGGAUCCAGGGGCCUUCCCCGCCUCCUGGGGUGGAGGUAGGCCCAUCUUGCAAGGUAAAUGGCUCAGGUUUCACAUACUUCCAGACUAGGAAACCUGCAUCUGCUGCUGCGGCCACCAAAGCCUGCUCUCUCUGCCUCUGGCCUUGGGGAGAAAGGGCCACAGCUGGUUCAGGAAGAGGCUCCAGACCCAGCCUGAGACUAUCCCCCGGACCUGACCACCACCGGCCAGCCUCCCAUGAGUGCCCAGUCCAGCCCUGCCUUGAGCUUCCAGACACGUGGCCAGGCUCUUUUCUUUUUUAAAAUUUAGCAUGACGCACAUAUUUCAGGAAAAUGUUCUCAUUGUAAUAUCUCAACAAUGAAUAAAACGUGGCGAAUGAAAAGCCAAGUAAUUCCCCUGCAUUUCCUGAGCCGCAUUCCCGUCAGGUAUUACUGGCAGUUAGUGGGUAUUCUUUUGAACCUUCUUACUAUCGUGUGUGUGUAUGUAUCUGCAUCUCUUCCUCUGCAUGCACACGUCUAUCUCUAGCUGGAACUACACCUUUGUCUGUAUCCGGGCCAACUGUGUAUGCAGAGGUGCUGGGCCAGUGGUAACAUUCUGUAUAUUUUGUUCUGCAAGGUGCCUUACUUUUCACUGAAGGUACCGCGGAUGUUGCUUUGGGUCAGUACAUAUACAACCACCUUCUUUUUAAUGGCUGAGCAGUAUUCCAUCACGUGAGCUGACCCAUCAUUUGUCUGUCCAGUCCCUUACUGAGCAUUUAGAUGGUUUCUAUCGUUUUGCUUCCACCAACAGCCUUGGGCAGGCCUCAUUGUGCAUUGAGCGAUUUCUUCAGGACAGGCACCUGACUCACCUCCCGGCACUACUGGAGGGCCUGCGAUAAGUACUAACAAAGGGGCUGGGUACUGGGGCUGGGUACCGCAUUCGCGAUAAGUACUAACAAAGGGGCCGGGUACUGGGGCUGGGUACCGCA